UACGUAGGGUGCGAGCGUUGUCCGGAAUUACUGGGCGUAAAGAGCUCGUAGGUGGUUUGUCGCGUUGUUCGUGAAAUCUCACGGCUUAACUGUGAGCGUGCGGGCGAUACGGGCAGACUGGAGUACUGCAGGGGAGACUGGAAUUCCUGGUGUAGCGGUGGAAUGCGCAGAUAUCAGGAGGAACACCGGUGGCGAAGGCGGGUCUCUGGGCAGUAACUGACGCUGAGGAGCGAAAAGCGUGGGGGAGCGAACAGG
rnacentral:rRNA from 1 species